rnacentral:lncRNA from 1 species
AGUGAAUAUGCUUGGCCUAGAAUGGAGAAAUGGUUUUCAGAGAAGUCGUGUAGGUUCUUUGGGACUUUGAAGAGAGGGAGUGGCAUGUGGUCAACGCACUUCCACUGAAGAAGUUGAGUUUUGGUUUGGGGACUUUUUUGCUUUCCUUGUUAAGGGCAACAUAAGCAGCAUUUCAGGGGAUGGGCAGGCGGCUUUCUUCUGCUGGCUGGCUGACAGCGCAGGUGCUGCUGGAGCAGCAGGCACUACAGAGCCAGUGUUCUCCAGUAAGCCCUCUGCCACUGUUCUUUGCUUGUUUCACCCUUGAGGAUGGCCUGCAUGGAGAGAUGAGGUCUUGCUCUGUGGCCCGGCGUGGAGUGCAGUGGUAUGACGAUAGGUCAUUGCAGCCUCAAACUCCUGAGCUCAAGCAAUCCUCCUGCCUUAGCCUCCCAAGUUGUUGGAAUUACAGGUAUCAUUUCUUAAGGAAAAUGUUCAGGAUGGAAACCUAAAAUACCUUGAGCUUCUCUGGCAUCAGAGCACACAGCUGUUGCUAAGACCAUGGAGGAAUAUUGACUGUUCAAGGAACCACAAGAACGCAAAGAAGGAGGAACAAAUGGGGGAUGAUGAAAUAAACAGGCAGCAGGUGCACAGACUCCUCGCAAUGCAAGGCCACUGCCAGGGAAUGCUGGAGGGGUGAUGCUAGCAAUUGAAGAUUGUCUCUCCUACCCUCUUCAAUGCCUCUUUCAGCAAUAUGAAGUUAAAACCAGAUUAGUGUUGGGUCUGAAGUUCCAAAUCCUGCUGCCUCUGUGAAGUCUUUCUGCUCAUGCUAGAAGCAAUAUCACCUCUUCUAGAAUUGUAAAGUGCCAUUUUCCAUACCACUUAUAAUAUACUGUCUUGUAGAUGUUUUUCUGUCGUCUGUAUUUCAUCCCUCUAAUAGAUGAUAAAUUUCUAGAGGAUGCCUCCCACAGAAAAAGUGCUCAAUAAAUAUCUGUCAUUGGUGAAAACAGAUUAUAGAUGAUAUUUUGUUGGAAGAUUGGAGGCAAAGUCUCAAAGAUAAUAUCAUCCUCUAUGCCACUGAGAGUAUUAGUAAGGCAGUAUUUCUGAAAGAGCACUCCACCACUACCUCUGGGAUUUUCUUGCAAGCUACUGAUACCAUCUUUGCAAGAAUGGAGGCAAACAUUCAGGCUACCAGAAUUUAAUCUCUGUAAUUUCCUUGCCAACAGCCAUAAUAAAUGCUUCUUGUUUUCAGGUGAGGUGAAAUGUGAAAAAGUGUUCAUCAGAAUUGGUGAAAUAUGGCAAUUACAACUUUAUUUAAAACAAUGCACGUCACUUUUUGAAAAUAUUUGAAAACUUCUGCUAUAGUCAAAAGAACCUUGGUCUUAAGGAAUCAGAGGACCUGGGUUGAAUACUAGUUCUCUUGACUACCUAUGGCAAGUAACAUAAACUGUCUUAACUUCCUCUGAGGAAUAAGCAAUUUACCUUGUGGGGUGAUUGCAAGAAUUAAAAGAAAAUUUAAAUUCCACAAAAGCAGAAAUAAUUCUAUCCUGUUUGCCACGAUCUUUCUAUUCUCUCAAGAAGUAACAGGGACCUAGAAAGAAUAAAUGAAACAAUGAAUGAACAGUUAAUACAUAGCAAACUACAUGUAGAACUGUCUGUGUUGGAAUGUUGCCAUGGUGGAAGGCAGUAUGUUCUAGGAGAAAAUGCAGCAAAAAAUGUUUCAGUAAGGAACAUUCUUUAGUCCCUCUCUCUAUUUUUCCCCAGUCAUUUUGUGGUUUUGGCUGCUAUUGGCUUGUAUCUGCUUCCCAAAUGCUAGUAAUUUCUUCCAAUCUAAAGUUGCUUGUUUAUUUUCUUGUAUAUUGUAAAACAAAGGCAACAUAAUUGCAGGCCAGAAAGCUAUUUUCUCACUCUUGAAUUCUUAAAAAUGUCAUUUGUUCUAGGUUUUUUUCGCAUGUAUUUAUUAUUGAAAUAUUAAGAGACACAAAAAACAUGGAAAAGAAAAAAAUCAUUAUUUCAAAUUCCUAACCUAGAGAGAAUAAUUACUAAUACUUUUUCUUACUUAAUUGGCA